CCCUUAGAUGUUCUGGGCCACACGCGCGCUACACUGACGAAUGCAACGAGCUUAUAACCUUGGCCGAAAGGUCUGGGUAAUCUCCAAAUUUCGUCGUGAUGGGGAUAGAUUAUUGCAAUUAUUAAUCUUCAACGAGGAAUGCCUAGUAAGCGCAAGUCAUCAGCUUGCGUUGAUUACGUCCCUGCCCUUUGUACACACCGCCCGUCGCUCCUACCGAUUGAAUGGUCCGGUGAAGCGCUCGGACCGCGGCCUCUUGACGGUUUUCCGUCGAUUGGCUGUGGGAAGUUCGUUAAACCUUAUCAUUUAGAGGAAGUAAAAGUCGUAACA
rnacentral:rRNA from 1 species